GUUUUGAUGACAAGCUUAAAAAAUUUUUUGCUGUGUGGCUGGCAAGAUGGCCAAAUAGGAACAGCUGCAGCCUGCAGCUCCCAGUGAGAUCAACGCAGAAGUGGUGCCUGGAAUGCCAGAGAGACAGAACCAUUCACUCCCUGGAAAGGAGGCUGAAACCAGGGAGCCAAGUGGUCUAGCUCAGUGGAUCCCACCCCCAUGGAGCCCAGCAAGGCUCCACUGGCAGAAGAGUGGCAGAGAAGGAGAGAAGAGAAGCAGCA